rnacentral:ncRNA from 1 species
GGAGAACUGCGAGGAGCCAACCCUAGUACGAGAGGACUGGGUUGGGUUAAACUUUGGUGUACCAGUUGUUAUGCCAAUAGCAGUGCCGGACAGCUAAGUUGGUAUGAAAGAGCUGCUGCGUCGCGGGAAAUCCUUCUUUAUACAAGUUCUCGGAUGAGGUUUUUGAAUAGAACUUUGAUAGGCGAGAGGUGUAAGCACCGCGAGGUGUGAAGCGAUCUCGUACUAAACGA